UUAGGCAUGGAAAAUUACCUUAGAUGACAUCUACACUGUAGGAAGAAACAUGUGGAAAACGAACUGCCUGGAUGUGUUUGUCUCCAAACUGCCCUUUGUUCCCCAACGCAAGCCCUUCCUUCCCAAGAAGGAAGCGCUCUCCUUGUGGCCUUUAUCCUGUUCUGAACUCACAUGGCAGCUGUAAGUGCGGGCACCAAGCCCAGCCCAAGAACCUGGACCAGUCUGUGGUGGAAGCAGGGUCUCUGCCUGGCUUUUUCACUCAGAGCUGGUCUGGUGGGUGCUGGUGUGCCGCUGCUCGGGUGCUCUUAGAUGUCCAGCUAACAGAUGCCUGCUCCGUGCCUGUGUCUGAGAUCAUCACAGUGGAGGAGACCGAGGCUCAGGGGAAGCACUACACCAGUGGCCGCUGGCAGAGAAUGGAGAAGCCUUUUGCGUUCACAGUGCACUGUGUGAAGCGGGCCCGGCAUCACCGCUGGAAGUGGGCGCAGGUGACCUUCUGGAGCUCGGACGAGCAGCUGUGUCACCGAUGGCUGCAGACCCUGCGGGAGCUGCUGGCAAAGCUGACGUGCAGACCAAAGCACUUACUGGUCUUCAUCAACCCCUUUGGAGGGAAGAGACAAGGCAAGCGGAUAUACGACAGGAAAGUGGCACCGCUGUUCUCGCUGGCGUCCAUCACCACAGACAUCAUCGUCACUGAGCAUGCUAACCAAGCCAAGGAGACGCUCUAUGAGAUCAGCCUGGACCAGUAUGAUGGCCUCGUCUGUGUCGGCGGCGAUGGCACGUUCAGCGAGGUGCUGCACGGACUCAUAGGGAGGACGCAGAGGAACGCUGGCGUGGACCAGAACCAGCCCCGGGCCGCACUGGUCCCCAGCCCCCUGAGGAUCGGCAUCAUUCCCACAGGGUCAACAGACUGCGUGUGCUAUUCCACCGUGGGCGCGAGUGACGCGGAGACGUCAGCUCUGCACAUCAUCAUCGGGGACUCACUGGCCAUGGACGUGUCCUCUGUGCACCACAAUGGCGCGCUGCUGCGGUACUCAGUGUCCCUGCUGGGCUAUGGCUUCUAUGGGGACCUAAUCAAGGACAGCGAGAAGAAGCGGUGGAUGGGACUGGCCAGGUAUGACUUUGCAGGUGUCAAGACCUUCCUGUCCCAUCACUACUACGAGGGGACAGUGUCCUUCCUGCCAGCGCAGCACACCGUGGGUUCCCCGCGGGACAGGAAGCCCUGCCGGGCGGGGUGCUUUGUGUGCAGGCAGAGCAAGCGCCAGCUGGAGGAGGAGCAGAAGAAGGCGCUGUAUGGCUUGGAAAACACCGAGGUGGAGGAGUGGCAGGUCGUCUGCGGGAAGUUUCUGGCUAUCAAUGCCGCAAACAUGUCCUGUGCGUGUCCCCGGAGCCCUGGGGGCCUGUCCCCAGCUGCCCACCUAGGAGACGGGUCUUCUGACCUCAUCCUCAUCCGGAAGUGCUCCCGGUUCGACUUCCUGAGGUUCCUCGUCAGGCACACGAACCAGUGUGAUCAGUUUGACUUCACUUUUGUUGAAGUUUAUCGGGUCAGGAGAUUCCAGUUCACCUCGAAGCACGUGGAGGACGAGGACAGUGACCUCACGGAGCGAGGGAAGCAGCGGUUCGGACAGAUCUGCACCGACAGCCCCUCCUGCUGCUGCCCGGCCAGCGGCAGCUCCUGGAACUGCGACGGGGAGGUGCUUCACAGCCCCUCCAUCGAGGUCAGGUGAGCGGGGACCCCGAAGUGUGCUGCAGGCCACAGAUGCCACACCUGGCCCCGUGCACUGUCCCAGCAGGACACUAUCACUGAAAACGCCCUCUCCUCCCAUUUGCCAGAAGUUCAAGAUGUUCUUCCUCAGGUUUGGAAAGAGGAAGGGUGUCGAACUGGGGUGACUCGUGUGUCCCAGAGACUGUGCCCAGGCUUUUGAAGCCCCCCGUUGUUCUUUUCCUUUGCCACCCCCUGUGCCCAGAGCUGCCAUCGGUCUCGGCCCUGCCACUCUCUCCUCUGUUGCUACAUUGGAAGCAAACACAGCCCAUCUACCAAAGCUUCCUGCUCCACUGACCACCAGCAGACGUGGUGCCUGGUCAGGGUCAGGGAAUGGGGGAUGGCAGUGACCCCUGGAGGCAGAGGGGACACUUGGUGUGCAGAGGCCCUGAAGUCCAGUGCCCUCAGGACUGGGGCGGCCCAACAGAGAUGAGCCCUGAGAAGUCGGUGCCCCGUGGUGGGUGAAGCGGGCAUCGCACACUCAGCCACCCUUACACCGGAGGGGUCCACUGCCAGCUGGUCCGACUCUUCGCCCGAGGAAUCGAGGAGAACCCUAAGCAGGAGCCACACAGCUGAAGAGC